rnacentral:rRNA from 1 species
CCUACGGGUGGCAGCAGUGAGGAAUAUUGGUCAAUGGACGAGAGCCUGAACCAGCCAAGCAGCGUGAAGGAUGACUGCCCUAUGGGUUGUAAACUUCUUUUAUAUGGGAAUAAAAUGUUCCACGUGUGGGAUUUUGUAUGUACCAUAUGAAUAAGGAUCGGCUAACUCCGUGCCAGCAGCCGCGGUAAUACGGAGGAUCCGAGCGUUCUCCGGAUUUAUUGGGUUUAAAGGGAGCGUAGGUGGAUUGUUAAGUCAGUUGUGAAAGUUUGCGGCUCAACCGUAAAAUUGCAGUUGAAACUGGCAGUCUUGAGUACAGUAGAGGUAGGCGGAAUUCGUGGUGUAGCGGUGAAAUGCUUAGAUAUCACGAAGAACUCCGAUUGCGAAGGCAGCUCACUGGACUGCAACUGACACUGAGGCUCGAAAGUGUGGGUAUCAAACAGGAUUAGAUACCCUUGUAGUC